CCUACGGGAGGCAGCAGUCGAGAAUCAUUCACAAUGGGGGAAACCCUGAUGGUGCGACGCCGCGUGGGGGAAUGAAGGUCUUCGGAUUGUAAACCCCUGUCAUGUGGGAGCAAAUUAAAAAGAUAGUACCACACGAGGAAGAGACGGCUAACUCUGUGCCAGCAGUCGCGGUAAUACAGAGGUCUCAAGCGUUGUUCGGAAUCACUGGGCGUAAAGCGUGCGUAGGCUGUUUCGUAAGUCGUGGGUGAAAGGCGCGGGCUCAACCCGCGGAAGGCACAUGAUACUGCGAGACUAGAGUAAUGGAGGGGGAACCGGAAUUCUCGGUGUAGCAGUGAAAUGCGUAGAUAUCGAGAGGAACACUCGUGGCGAAGGCGGGUUCCUGGACAUUAACUGACGCUGAGGCACGAAGGCCAGGGGAGCGAAAGGGAUUAGAUACCCCAGUAGUC
rnacentral:rRNA from 1 species